rnacentral:rRNA from 1 species
UACGUAGGGGGCAAGCGUUAUCCGGAUUUACUGGGUGUAAAGGGAGCGUAGACGGCGCGGCAAGUCUGAAGUGAAAGGCAGGGGCUUAGCCCCUGAACUGCUUUGGAAACUGCCAUGCUAGAGUGCUGGAGAGGUAAGCGGAAUUCCUAGUGUAGCGGUGAAAUGCGUAGAUAUUAGGAAGAACACCAGUGGCGAAGGCGGCUUUCUGGACUGAAACUGACGCUGAGGCACGAAAGCGUGGGGAGCGAACAGG